rnacentral:lncRNA from 1 species
CGCUCGACUAACAACACAGCGGAGGAGAAUCUGAGUUCGGCGACUUGACGAUGAGGGCGAAGGUACGAAAAUUACCUCUGUAACCUCCGACAAGGCUCUCUAUAGGUUUCCUUGUUAGUAUUACGUAUUGUAGAUUGAUUCUCUUACAUUUAGCAGAACUUUAAUGGAUGCUGAGUAUCGUUCGUUUUAUGAGUUAAAUUGCUAAUUGAUUUUGCAUUUGGCUUACAGUUAUUGAUUCUUGUUAUUAACUGGUUAGAGUGAUGUCAUUGUUGUGGUUUGAUCGUAUCUUUUGUUUGUAGUGGAAGAAGAAGCGGAUGAGGAGACUGAAGAGGAAGCGCAGGAAGAUGAGACAGCGAUCCAAGUAGUCUCUGUGUCUCCAUGCCUAUCCAUAACUCUCUGAACCUUUUAUGUUUUGUGUUUUUUUACGUUUAAGUUGGAACAAUCGUUUGUAGAACAUGUUUUGGAUCAACUCCCUUUUUAUUUAUCUACACAGACAGAGAUUUAUCUUAUUUUUCUUGGAUCUGUUUAUUUUGGAGAUUGUGAGUGCAAGUAACAAUUUUCUAGAGGCUUGAUAAAUGAUCUAAACCUACUCUCAUAUCCUUUUUUAAUUAAGAAAAG